GAUGAAGAACGUAGCGAAAUGCGAUAAGUAGUGUGAAUUGCAGAAUUCAGUGAAUCAUCGAAUCUUUGAACGCACAUUGCGCCCUUUGGUAUUCCUUAGGGCAUGCCUGUUCGAGCGUCAUUUAAACCUUCAAGCUAAGCUUGGUGUUGGGCGACUGUCCGCUUCACGGCGGACUCGCCUCAAAAUUAUUGGCGGCCGGUACAUUGGCUUCGAGCGCAGCAGAAACGCGAACUCGGGCGCGUCGUAUUGGCUCCCAGAAGCUAUCUUCACAAUUUUGACCUCGGAUCAGGUAGGGAUACCCGCUGAACUUAAGCAUAUCAAUAAGCGGAGGA
rnacentral:misc_RNA from 1 species